GCUCCGAUAGUCUAGUGGCCAAGGAUUCAUGCCUUUCACGCAUGAGACCCGGGUUCAAAUCCCGGUCGGAGCG
rnacentral:tRNA from 1 species